GAUGAACGCUGGCGGCGUGCCUAACACAUGCAAGUCGAGCGAACGGACGAGGAGUUUGCUUGUCUGGUGUUGGCGGCGGACGGGUGAGUAACACGUGGAUAACCUACCUAUAAGACUGGGAUACCUUCGGGAAACCGGAUCUAAUACCGGAUAAUAUUUUGAACCGCAUGGUUCAAAAGUGAAAGACGGUCUUGCUGUCACUUAUAGAUGGAUCCGCGCUGCAUUAGCUUGUUGGUAAGGUAACGGCUUACCAAGGCAACGAUGCAUAGCCGACCUCAGAGCGUGGUUCCACACCCUGGCUGUGAGACACGGCCCAGACUCCUACGCUGGGCCGCAGUAGGGACUCUUACGCGAUGGAGGAGAGCCGAACGGAGCAACGCCGCGUGAGUGCUGAAGGUCUUCGGAUCGUAAAGCUCUGUUAUUAUGGAAGAACAUAUGUGUAAGUAACUGUGCACAUCUUGACGGUACCUAAUCAGAAAGCCCCGGCUAACUACGUG
rnacentral:rRNA from 1 species